CCUACGGGAGGCAGCAGUGAGGAAUAUUGGUCAAUGGCCGGAAGGCUGAACCAGCCAUGCCGCGUGAAGGUCAGUGCCCUAUGGGCGUUAAACUUCUUUUGUGCGGGAGCAAUAAUGGUCACGUGUGGCCAGACGAGAGUACCGUACGAAUAAGCAUCGGCUAACUUCGUGCCAGCAGCCGCGGUAAUACUGGGGAUGCAAGGGUUAUACGGAUUUAUUGGGUUUAAAGGGGGCGUAGGCGGCAUUUUAAAGCAGGGGUGAAAGUCUGUGGGUCAACCAUAGAAUUGCCGUUGAAACUGGGAGGCUUGAGUAUGUUUGAGGCAGGCGGAAUGCGUGGUGUAGCGGUGAAAUGCAUAGAUAUCACGCAGAACCCCGAUUGCGAAGGCAGCCUGCCAAGCCAUGACUGACGCUGAUGCACGAAAGCGUGGGGAUCAAACAGGAUUAGAUACCCCUGUAGUC
rnacentral:rRNA from 1 species